UUUCAGCCUGGCUAUCAGCACGAUUAGAUGCGGAGAGGUCGGUGCAGAUGCGACUCUACGCGCUCAGCAAGCGUCAGUUCUUCGUCGUAUUUCUCGUCUUCUUUGCCAGCUUCGCGCUCUGUCUCUUCAUUGGUCUAGCAGGUCCUCCGAUAACGGUGACGUCUGAAUUGUCUACGUCCACACUGACGCCAAAGCCGAAUAACACCUAC